rnacentral:pre_miRNA from 1 species
UGUGUACUCCCUCCGUUCCAAAAUACUUGACUUCCAUUUGUCCAAAAAUGGAUGUACCUAUAUACUAAAACAUGUCUAUAUACAUAUAUAUUUUGACAAAUAGAAGGCAUGUAUUGUGUAACGGAGGGAGUAGAAU